rnacentral:misc_RNA from 1 species
GGACGUCUGCUCGACAUGGUACAGGGCAAUGCCCUGAAACUCGGACAGGUCGAGUUUCUGGUGCUCGACGAAGCCGACCGCAUGCUCGACAUGGGUUUCAUCAACGACAUCCGCAAAAUCGUCGCUUCCGACGAAACGUCAGACGCUGUUCUUCUCGGCAACCAUGCCGAAGGACAUCGCCGAUCUCGCAGAGCAGAUGCUGCAUAACCCGGCCCGCGUUGCCGUGACGCCGGUGGCGU